rnacentral:misc_RNA from 1 species
GUGAAUCAUCGAAUCUUUGAACGCACAUUGCGCCCGCCAGCAUUCUGGCGGGCAUGCCUGUUCGAGCGUCAUUUCAACCCUCAGGCCCUGCCUGGCGUUGGAGGACUGCGCACGCAGCCUCCCAAAGCGAGCGGCGGCGGCGCCCCGAAACCGAACGCAGUAGUUACCUCUCGUUCUGGGUCCGGGCCGUUGUCCUGCCGGAAAACCCCCAUCUUAUCAAUGGUUGACCUCGAAUCAGGUAGGAAUACCCGCUGAACUUAAGCAUAUCAAUAAGCGGAGGA